CUCAAUUUGAUUGAGUAACGAAGCCUAUGUGAAUUUUCGAGUAUAGGCUAUCCAAACUGUGAAUUUCAGGAACCAAUUCUGCUGUCCAGUUUUCCUAAGGUCUGUUAACACAGAGUUUGAGAGCGGCUUGAGGCAGUAAGCUUGUUAAAGCUUGGUGCGUAAAGCAUUGGGGGUCAAAAUGUCAAAUAUGGAAAAAAUAGCUCGUUCUACUCCAACUAAGAAGAUCAAGGUUCUGAAUAAGAGAACCAAGACUAUGCAGCAAGAUAUGGCAGAGCUAGCAGGUUCCGUGAAGACCAUUGCUAAAGCUAUAGAGAAGCCGAACAAAUCCAGUCAUGAAGUUGAUGUACGAAGGUUCAAGAAAUCUUUAGGUAAUGACUUCAUAUUUCAUGGAACCGAGGAACCAACUGAUGCUGAAAAGUGGUUGCUGGGUAUAAAGAAAGAAUUGAAAGUUAUGU